AUUGAACGCUGGCGGCAGGCCUAACACAUGCCAGUCGAGCGGAUGAAGGGAGCUUGCUCCUGGAUUCAGCGGCGGACGGGUGAGUAAUGCCUAGGAAUCUGCCUGGUAGUGGGGGAUAACGUCCGGAAACGGGCGCUAAUACCGCAUACGUCCUGAGGGAGAAAGUGGGGGAUCUUCGGACCUCACGCUAUCAGAUGAGCCUAGGUCGGAUUAGCUAGUUGGUGGGGUAAAGGCCUACCAAGGCGACGAUCCGUAACUGGUCUGAGAGGAUGAUCAGUCACACUGGAACUGAGACACGGUCCAGACUCCUACGGGGGGCAGCAGUGGGGAAUAUUGGACAAUGGGCGAAAGCCUGAUCCAGCCAUGCCGCGUGUGUGGAGAAGGUCUUCGGAUUGUAAAGCACUUUAAGUUGGGAGGAAGGGCAGUAAGUUAAUACCUUGCUGUUUUGACGUUACCAACAGAAUAAGCACCGGCUAACUUCGUG
rnacentral:rRNA from 1 species